GACGAACGCUGGCGGCGCGCCUAACACAUGCAGGUCGAACGGGCGAGAGAGAGCUUGCUUUCUCGAGCGAGUGGCGAACGGGUGAGUAACGCGUGAGGAACCUGCCUCAAAGAGGGGGACAACAGUUGGAAACGACUGCUAAUACCGCAUAAGCCCACGGUGCCGCAUGGCACAGAGGGAAAAGGAGCAAUCCGCUUUGAGAUGGCCUCGCGUCCGAUUAGCUAGUUGGUGAGGUAAUGGCCCACCAAGGCGACGAUCGGUAGCCGGACUGAGAGGUUGAACGGCCACAUUGGGACUGAGACACGGCCCAGACUCCUACGGGAGGCAGCAGUGGGGAAUAUUGCACAAUGGGGGAAACCCUGAUGCAGCGACGCCGCGUGGAGGAAGAAGGUCUUCGGAUUGUAAACUCCUGUUGUUGGGGAAGAUAAUGACGGUACCCAACAAGGAAGUGACGGCUAACUACGUA
rnacentral:rRNA from 1 species